CUCCGGGCCCGGGCUGCGUGCGGGAAGUGGUUUCCUCCUGCACCCUUCCCUGCCGGGAGCAUGGGGCGGGCUGCAGCGGCCAGCGUGGCCGCAGGCUUUGGUGCUCAGAGGGCUCGGAUAACUGAGGGGACAAUCUGCUGUCUGCGGGACAACACCGAACAGCCGAACAAUCUCAAACACCAACAGCUGAACGUGUUGCAGUUUCUAAGUUAAUCGUGUGGGUUUUUUUUAUCACACUCUGGAGAGAUACAGCAGGCCAAGCACACUGGAGAUAUCAGGAAUGAGGAAGAGAAAAUGCUAACCUUACAAAACAGGAUUUUGGUGCCCUCUCAACCUGAACGCUGAAGGCUAGUCUGAAUAAAAACUGUCAAACUUU